UAGGGAUUCUUCCACAAUGGACGCAAGUCUGAUGGAGCAACGCCGCGUGAGUGAAGAAGGUUUUCGGAUCGUAAAGCUCUGUUGUUGGUGAAGAAGGAUAGAGGUAGUAACUGGCCUUUAUUUGACGGUAAUCAACCAGAAAGUCACGUCUAACUACGUGCCAGCAGCCGCGGUAAUACGUAGGUGGCAAGCGUUGUCCGGAUUUAUUGGGCGUAAAGCGAGCGCAGGCGGAAGAAUAAGUCUGAUGUGAAGGCCUUCGGCUUAACCGAGGAACUGCAUCGGAAACUGUGUGUCUUGAGUGCAGAAGAGGAGAGUGGAAUUCCGGGGGUAGCGGUGGAGUACGUAGAUAAAUGGAAGAAAACCAGUGGCGAAGGCGACUCUCUGGUCUGCAACUGACGCUGAGGCUCGAAAGCAUGGGUAGCGAACAAG
rnacentral:rRNA from 1 species